UGGUUGAUCCUGCCAGUAGUUAUAUUCUUGUCUCAAAGAUUAAGCCAUGUAUGUCUAAGUAUAAGCAAGCUUAUACUGCGAAACUGCGAAUGGCUCAUUAAAUCAGUUAUAGUUUAUUUGAUGAUUACCUUACUACAUGGAUAACCGUGGUAAUUCUAGAGCUAAUACAUGCGCCCAAUCUCGACCUUUUGGAAGAGAUGUAUUUAUUAGUUACAAAACCAAUUUGGAUUUCGGUCCAAUUGUGGUGAAUCAUAAUAACUGUUCGGAUCGCAACGGCUUCGUGCCGGCGAUAGGUCAUUCAAAUUUCUGCCCUAUCAGCUUUCGAAGGUAGGAUAGAGGCCUACCUUGGCAUUAACGGGUCACGGAGAAUUAGGGUUCGAUUCCGGAGAGGGAGCCUGAUAAAUGGCUACCACUUCCAAGGAAGGCAACAGGCGCGCAAAUUACCCAAUCCUGACAAAGGGAGGUAGUGACAAUAAAUAACGAUGUCGUUCUCUUGUAGGAUGAUAAUCGGAAUGAGAACAAUUUAAACCUCUUAUCGAUUACCCAUUGGAGGGCAAGUCUGGUGCCAGCAGCCGCGGUAACACCAGCUCCAAUAGCGUAUAUUAAAGUUGUUGCAGUUAAAAAGCUCGUAGUUGGACUUCUGGUCUGAGAAUGAAAGUGGCUGCUUUAAUUUGUGGUCUUGCCGGAUUUCUCGACCUUCCUUCGUGGAGAACAUUUAGGUCCUUAAUUGGACUCUAUUUGGGAUCCCGAUCUUUUACUUUGAAAAAAUUAGAGUGUUCAAAGCAGGCUUAUGCCUUUGAAUACAUUAGCAUGGAAUAAUAAGAUAGGACUUUGGUUCUAUUUUGUUGGUUUCUAGGACUAAAGUAAUGAUUGAUAGGGAUAGUUGGGGGUGCUAGUAUUCAACGGCCAGAGGUGAAAUUCGGUGAUUCGUUGAAGACUAACUUAUGCGAAAGCAUUCACCAAGGAUGUCUUCUUUAAUCAAGAACGAAAGUUGAGGGAUCGAAGACGAUCAGAUACCGUCGUAGUCUCAACCAUAAACUAUACCGACUCGGGAUUGGAUCACGUUUUUUUUGACUGAUUCAGCACCGUAUGAGAAAUCAAAGUCUUUGGGUUCCGGGGAGUCUGGUCGCAAGGCUGAAACUUAAAGGAAUUGACGGAAGGGCACCACCAGGAGUGGAGCCUGCGGCUUAAUUUGACCCAACACGGGAAAACUUACCAGGUCAAGACAUAGUGAGGAUUGACAGAUUGAAGAUCUUUCUUGAUUCUAUGGGUGGUGGUGCAUGGCCGUUCUUAGUUGGUGGAGUGAUUUGUCUGGUCUAUUCCGAAAACGAACGAGACCUCAGCCUACUAAAUAGUUGCAUUAUUUCAUCCGAAAUGGUGAUCAACUUCUUAGAGGGACUUUUGACUUUUAGUCAAAGGAAGCUUGAGGCAAUAACAGGUCUGAGAUGCCCUUUGAUGUUCUGGGCUGCACGCGCGCUACACUGACACGUUCAACGAGCUUACAACCUUAGUCGGUAGGCCUGGGUAAUCUUUGAAA
rnacentral:rRNA from 1 species